UAGCGUUAAAAGGAAAGAAAAGGUUUUGUCGCUCUCUCUCGUCUCCUCAUUAGUUCGAGUGCUCCUCCGAUCACCCACGCCGCACGCCACUGACGGAGCAUGCACAAGCUCAUCGUUCGUCUGCCUGUUUGUUCGGCCACUCUGAUUAGCAGCACCAUGAGGUUUCGUCAGUUGUAGAGCAUCGAUGUCGUCGUGGGUUUAGACGAUCUGCGUUCCCAUUCGUCAGAUCUACCGUGGGUUUAGAUCUGUUCGUUCCCCGUGCGUUUUGUCACUCCAGCUCCGCCGUGCGUUCCGCCAUUUUCUCCACCAUUUAGAUUUGUUCUUGAUCCGCCAUUCUUCUAACUCUGUCAGCUUAUUUUGCACAUCGUUCAUCAGAUCCAUUCGUGUUGUGGGUUUCGCCGAGCUCCGUCGUUCUUCCAACUUCGAGCUCUGCUCAGAUCUAUCCAGUUUUUUCCUUUGAUAUAUUCUCUUUUUUUCCAAAUUUUUUUCUAGUUUUACAUCAUACAUUCCUGACGCGAGAUUUUUUUCCCAGAAUUUUGUGAACUGCUUUAUUUUGUUACUAUUGAGCUAUAUGAAAUGAUAUUAACGACAUUGAUGUUGAAGCCAAGUUAAUUUCUUCUUCUUUAAUUGGAAGUAGGAAAAAAAUGAGGUUCCAUCAAGGGAGAUUCUCUAGUUGCAUUGUGUAUGGUAGAAGGAAAGGCUCCGCAGGAGCCACGAACUUCAGCUCAGAGAUCGAUACGUGGUGAAUACCACUAACAUUGAUCUGAUGGAAAUAAGCUUUUCUCUGUUCUUGGCAAGAUUCGCAGACAAUGAAGAAGAAAUUCGAGCAUGCAAAGGAAGAAAAUGAAAGAGGGAGAGAAGAUCUACAAAGUGAUGUACGUGGUUCAGCAAAGAGGUGCUUACAUCCACGGGAUGGGAGCUUAUUCUUUAUUGAAGACUACAAGAGAUAAGAACUUUUCUCUCUUUAUAGAUUUGUACAAGUGAAAAAAAUGUAAAACUCACUUAGUUGUUUAAAUGUACAGCAUAUAUAUAUGUUUGUAUGACUGUUACAAAUUAGUUGUUGAGUCUGUUAAGAAAAAAACUAGCCGUUGAGAUUAUUUUCCUUUAAAUCUCCACCUUAAUUUCAAUCAUGUUGCCUUUUCCUUCCAAAUAUAAUGAUGUUUAACCUUUUUCAGAUAACAUGAAGCCAAUCUAUUCGAGACUUUGGCUAACUUAAGCUUCAAGAUAGGUUUGGUAAGCAUGUCAGCUGCGUUCUCCGAGGUAUGAACUUUCAGGAUCUCUAUUUCUCAUUGUUCUAUUUUGUCUCUUACAAAAUGAAACUUGAUGUCUAUGUGUUUUGUUCUUAAGUGGUAUUGUGGGUUUUUGAAAAUAUAGAUAGCAUUUUGAUUAUCAAAGUAGAUUUUAACUAUUGUUUGUUUGAUGCCAAAGUCUUCCAUCAAGCCCUUUAACCACAAUGCUUCCUUUAUAGCAUCUGAAAGGGCCAUAUAUUCUGCCUCAGUAGUUGAUAGAGCUGUGAUAGACUGUAGAUUUGCCUUCCAGCUUAGUAGAUUAAGUCCAUAUAAAAGGAGAUAACCUAUAAGAGAUCUUGUUUUGUCUUGAUCCCCUACGAAAUCUGAGUCAACAAACCCAUAUAGCUCAAGUUCUGUCUCCUCUACACUUUGAUAGAUUAGCUUAGAUUAUUUAGAUCAGAUUAAAUACCUAAGUAUCCAUUUAAUAGCUUCCCAGAGUCUUCUUCCAAGACUUGACAUGUAUCUACUUACAAGGCUUGCACAAUAGGAAAGAUCUUACCAACUAGAGAUCAUAAGAUACAUCAAACUACCCAUUGUCCGACUAUGGGGAACCAUUUGCAUCUGAUUUAAGUGUUCCAAGUCAGUUUCUUUAGGUGAAUUAGCUGAGGAUAGUUUAAAAUGAUGAGCAAUAAGUAUAGUUAUUGGUUUAGCAUUGGUCAUAUUAAAUCUUCUAAUGAUCUUCCCACAGUAGUUAGGUUGACUAAUACUAAGUGUAGAGGAAUCCCUGUCUCUGGUAAUCUCAAUCCCAAGUAUCUUUUUAGACUGACCCAUAUCCUUCAUGUCAAACUCUCACUUUAGGAGAUCUUUGACAUGCCUUAGAUCUUCCUUAAAAACCCCAGCAAGCAACAUAUCAUCCACAUAGAGAAGUAAGUAUACCUUAUUCUUAUAAGUGGUUGAGUUUACAUAGGUACAUAUGUCAUAGGAGCUCUUUUGAAAUCCAAUAAUCUCAAUGUAGUCAUUAAAUCUCCUAUACCAGCGUCUAGGAGAUUGUUUAAGUCCAUAGAUGGACUUGUUUAGAAGACAAUAAAGAUCCUCAUUUCCCUUUUCUUCAAAACCCUAGGUUGUACCAUGUAAAUAAUCUCAUCUAGGUGACCAUGUAGGAAAGUUAUUUUUACAUCUAGCUGAUCUAAUUCAAGGUUAUAUUGAGCAACUAGAGACAACAAGAGUCUGAUAGAAGUCUGUUUUACUACUCGUGAAAAGAUCUUAGAAUAGUCAAUACCUUCUCUCUGAGUGAAUCCCUCAGCCACUAAUCUUGCCUUAUAUCUAGGCUUUUCAUCUUUAGAAGUACUCGCCUUUAGUUAGAUCCACUUAGAUGUUAUUGGUUUGCAUCCUUUGGGAAGAAAAGCUAGGGUAUAAGUGUUAUUAACACUUAGUGAUUGCAUUUCUCACAUAUAGCUUCAAUCCAAUUCCUAGCAUCAGGGCAGCUUACUGCCUCUUCAAAAGUAGCUGGUUCUUGGUCAUUUGGAGCUAUUGUAGCAUUUAAAACUAGGUUCAUAUAACUUGUUUCAGUAUACCUAGCCGAAGGAACAAUUACCCUUCUUUUUAUGUCCCUUGCUAAUGAGUAUUGACUCAAAUCAAGUGAUCAUCUGUAGUUUCCUCUUCCUCUUCUAAAUCAUUUGGAGGAUUCUGACUAGUGGACUUAUCUUUAGGUGUCUUCACCUCAAUUCUAGUGGUAAGACUCUUUAGGGGAUAAGAAGUUUAGGGAUGUAUGUGGGCACCCAUUUAAGGUGUACACAGUGUAGCUUGUAGCUCCAGCCUAGUACUUUUCACUAAAGAUGACAUCUGAGAGUAAGCAUCUGACCCUUUCCAUAAUAGUUCUAUUAAGCCUCUUUGCCACUCCAUUCUGUUGGGGUAUAUAUCUUGUUGUUCUAUGUCUGGUAAUGCCUGUUUCUUUAUAAAAUUUGUUAAAUUCUUCACUACAGAAUUCCAACCCAUUAUCUGUCCUUGGGUACUUAAUUUUCUUAGAGGUUUGCUUCUCAAUCAUGAGUUUCCAUUCCUUAAACUUGUCAAAUACUUGGUCUUUUGAUUUAAGAAAGAAAACCCAACUUUUCCUUGAGAAAGUCAUCAAUAAAAGAAAGUAAAUACCUUGAGUCACUUACGGUUAAAGAAAGUAAAGAAAGUAAUUUUAUCGGAGAUGAACAAUAUUCAGUGUAGAACAACUUACGGUUCAAUGUGCCAGUAAACAUUGGUCAACAUAGAAGGUAUUAUUCAACAAACAAGACAACUCAAUGUUGUUGACACCGAUUGAAGACGUAUUCGUCGUAGACGACAACGACAGGGUGAACCUAAUUUAGAGGGACACGAAGACAACUCCCAUGAGGAUCAGUAAAGAAAAACCCUUCCAGUGGUCGACUUCUUCCGUGGAGACUGAAUCAAAUGGGGAUUCUUGAAGGGCAAAAUUAUGAACCCCAUCUUCUCACUUUAUUGCUUUCUCUCUCUAAAAUUUUGGGGCUUCGUGAAGAUGAAGCUGGCCUAGAGAGAGAUCGAAGGUGAAGGUGUGCAAGAGAGGGAGAUCCAAGUGAUGGGUACAGAUCUGGCUGAGAGAGAAGAGAGAGAUCUAGUGAUUUUUAAAGAACAACUCUCAACGGUCAAAAUACUGGUUGGGAGUUACGCUCUCUAUCAGGUGUUGUUUAAUUUUGAAUUCAGGUUACUAUUUUUUGACGCAUAAUAAUAGAGCAUCAGGAGAUCUGUUCAAUA